GCAGUGAUGUAAAAUUCAUGACGUUGUUGUAACAUUGUACGUGGGUACUUUCACAACGUUGUUGGUAUGUUGUUAUUCUCACGUUGUCAUGACGUUGUAGAUAACAAUUUACACCACGUUGCUGUGCUCAUGACGUUAUGAUGACGUUGCAUAAAAGUCUCACCAUAAUGGUGUUGUUAAGUUGUAAAUUUCAUGUUGUCGUGACAUUGCAGUUUGGUAUUUUCAUGUUGUGUUAUGUUGAGAGCUCACGUUGCUGUAACGUUUUAUAAAGGUGUUUUGACACUGAAUUUAAGUUGCAAUUAUGCUGUGCGUUACGAUCCAUGCUGUUUUGGUAUUGACAAAAACAUUGUGAUUACGAUUUACUGAAUGUGAAGUGAACAUAAUAUGUUUUAAUUAAUGAUGUUUUAUUUGAUAAUAAUUAACAUUUGGGUGCCGCCUUGCAUUAAUAAUGUAACUCAUGAAAUUUCGAACAUCAUCAUGUUUGUUUUGUCGUAGUAGGAAUAUAAUGUUUCCAGAUAUUUUUCUAAUGGUCUAAGAUGGAUGAGAUCGUGGUCAAAGCGCGACUGUUUCCCGCUCAUAUUCAUUGUUGAAUACUCAAUGUAUACAUGUACUUUAUUGCACACACCAACGUAACUAGAAAUAUGAUUCCUGUUCUCAAAGAAAAUAUUACCAUGGCGCAUGCGCAUCAGCAGAAAUUCCACGUCCAGACCGCGUGAUAGCUUAUUUGAAUUGCUCUGCUCAGUCGAGUCAGCAAUCGAGCAGCAGCAGCUCACUAUAACGGUCGCCGACUCGCCGUCCAGUUGAUGUGAAGUAGCCAUGGUCGCCAAGCAAGUUAUUUUCACUACAGCAUUUCUUAGAAGGUAGGCAGUACACAUGUAUGCUAUACGUGAGUGCACUGGCAGCAGGAUGUGGCAUGUUUAAACUUUUAACUUCAGCAGUCUUCGAGGGAGGAAGUUUCUAACUAUUUUGAAAACCACCCCAUACAUCUCUUCAAGGUUGUUGCUGUACCUGCAUGACAUGACUUCGCAUGAACUUUUAGAAAUGGCAGCCGAUUGUGCUUGGUUGUCUAGAAGGGCCAAGAUUCAAGAUUCGUGUCUUUGGAGAAGUGCCAUAUUGACAAUUAACCUUGCUGAACAAGGAAUCCACUUACUUCUACAUCUGGAUAAUCUUCUGUUAAAGGUUCCAUUAGAUGAAUGUUACGCUAAAACAUAGAUUGGGCAAUUAGCCAAUCUUAAUGGAGGUAUUCAAAGAAAAUCAUGUUGAAAUGUCAAUAUUUUAAAAUGCAGGUUUUUGCGAGUUCCCUGCAUACAAAUAUAUCUUCACGAACAAACGCUAUUCAAGUAUCCCUUUCAAGUGUAAUUCUUUUUCAUAGACUCUGUAGCUACAAAAAAAAACCAAAACAAUUCCUUUGAGUUUUCUUUUGAAGAUGUUCCAUGGGAGAGAAAGAAAUUGAAGGAUCUAGAUAGAGGACAGAUUUAAAAAGCAUGUGAUUCAGUAGAUUAAAAGUUGUCUGAUCUAUUUUAUUUGUUCGAUGUGAAAGUCGCCUUCCUAUACUAUAUUUCUCAUCACGGACAGUGGAAAAUACUAAUUUUCAAAUACUAUU